CAGACGACUUCCUGUUUCCUGUCUGUGCGGAGGACUUCCUGCCAGUGUUGGAGAGUCCGCUGGGUCUGGUGGGGGAGGAGGCAGCCAACGUCCCGUCUCAACGCAUGCCGCUCGCCGACGUGUCGCUCAAACAUCCGCUCAUCCACAUCCAGAACUCGGUCCACAGUUUCCGUCGGCGCUCGACCCAGGAGUGCAGUCAGAGUGUGUUUCAUGUCGACGCUCCGCCGUGGAUUACCCCGAAAUCUUCCUCCAGCAUCACCUCAGUCCCUCCGUCUCUCAGGAGUCCCAGCGAGCCUACGGUCCCGCCCCCUAACCUCUCAUUGGCUGAGCCAGUAGGCCUGGCGUCCCCGGGGGAUGGCAGGAAGUCCCCCUCGCUGUUGGACAGCCUGAGCAGGAAGACGAAGACUCUCUCGUCCACCAUGACGGUGUCAGACCGGACGUCCCGUCUGCAGACGGAGAAACAGAUACUGAUGGA
rnacentral:lncRNA from 1 species